UUGCAGACUCGGGUCAAGAAGUCCAGUGGGUUUGAGGGUGUGAAGGGCAGGCUUGAAAUGCCCUCCACCCAGACAGUUUUCCUCAUGGGUAUUACAAGGCAGGCACCUUUUAGAGACCUUUUGCCAGCAGGGCUUCAUCUUUUGUUCACCUACAGGUCCUAGAACAUGCCUUGUUUGUCAACACCUGGCACACUGAGCCAGGACCGUGGGCAGAGCCAUGGGAGGUGACAGAGAAAAUCGACUGGCUAAAUCAGGUCUGUGAGCUGGGCCCUCAAAGCAGUGAUUUCCAUGAUCAUGUCAUGACUGAGCUCUGCAACCUACAGUGCAGAGGAGAAAGGUGCUCGCCCUUCAUACGAUCUUCAUGUGACGGAUGAACGAGCCCCAAGGAGCUGGUAUUUAAGCACAGCACCUUUGAUAAACUCUGCAAACGUCUCCACUUCAUCACCACACUGGCCUUCCCUUGACCCCUCAACCAAAUCUCAUUUCAUUUCUGAAAUACAUUCUAACUGGCAUCUUAAAAAAA